rnacentral:rRNA from 1 species
GACGAACGCUGGCGGCGUGCUUAACACAUGCAAGUCGAACGGAAAGGCCCUGCUUUUGUGGGGUGCUCGAGUGGCGAACGGGUGAGUAACACGUGAGUAACCUGCCCUUGACUUUGGGAUAACUUCAGGAAACUGGGGCUAAUACCGGAUAGGAGCUCCUGCUGCAUGGCGGUGGUUGGAAAGUUUCGGCGGUUGGGGAUGGACUCGCGGCUUAUCAGCUUGUUUGUGGGGUAGUUGCUUACCAAGGCUGUGACGGGUAGCCGGCCUGGGAGGGUGAACGGCGACAUGGGGACUGAGGUACGGACCAGACGCGUACGGGAGGCAGCAGUGGGAAAUAUUGCACAAUGGGCGGAAGCCAGAUGCAGAGACGCCGGGUGCGGGAAGACGGCCUUCGGGUUGUAAACCGCUUUCGCAUGUGACGAAGCGUGAGUGACGGUAAUGGGUAAAGAAGCACCGGCUAACUACGUG